UACGGGGGGGGGCAAGCGUUGUUCGGAAUUACUGGGCGUAAAGCGUGUGUAGGCUGCUACAUAAGUCGGAUGUGAAAGCCCCGGGCUCAACCCGGGAAGUGCACUCGAUACUGCGUAGCUUGAGUCUCGGAGAGGUUGGUGGAAUUCUCGGUGUAGAGGUGAAAUUCGUAGAUAUCGAGAGGAACACCGGUGGCGAAGGCGGCCAACUGGACGAAGACUGACGCUGAGACACGAAAGCGUGGGGAGCAAACAGG
rnacentral:rRNA from 1 species